rnacentral:rRNA from 1 species
CAAGUCGCACGAGAAAGCGGGAGCAAUCUCGCAAGUACAGUGGCGUACGGGUGAGUAACACGUGGAUUAUCUGCCCUGGAGUGGGGAAUAACGCUGGGAAACCGGCGCUAAUACCGCAUAUUCCCGAGAGGGGAAAGCAGCAAUGCGCUCGAGGAGGAGUCCGCGGCCGAUUAGCUAGUUGGCAGGGUAAAAGCCUACCAAGGCUGUGAUCGGUAGCCGGCCUGAGAGGGCACACGGCCACACUGGCACUGAAACACGGGCCAGACUCCUACGGGAGGCAGCAGUGGGGAAUCUUGCACAAUGGGGGAAACCCUGAUGCAGCGACGCCGCGUGAGCGAUGAAGCCCUUCGGGGUGUAAAGCUCUUUCGGCAGGGAAGAUUAUGACGGUACCUGCAGAAGCAGCUGCGGCUAACUACGUGCCAGCAGCCGCGGUAAUACGUAGGCAGCAAGCGUUGUUCGGAGUUACUGGGCGUAAAGGGUGUGUAGGCGGCCUGUUAAGUUCCGUGUGAAAUCUCCCGGCUCAACCGGGAGGGUGCGCGGAAAACUGGCGGGCUAGAGUGCGGGAUGGGAGAGUAGAAUUCCUGGUGUAGCGGUGAAAUGCGUAGAUAUCAGGAGGAAUACCGGUGGUGUAGACGGCUCUCUGGACCGCAACUGACGCUGAAACACGAAAGCGUGGGUAGCAAACAGGAUUAGAUACCCUGGUAGUCCACGCCCUAAACGAUGCAUAUUUGGUGUAGGUCAUUCAGUUGAUCUGUGCCGGAGCUAACGCGUUAAAUAUGCCGCCGGGGGAGUACAGUCGCAAGGCUGAAACUCAAAGGAAUUGACGGGGGCCCGCACAAGCGGUGGAGCAUGUGGUUCAAUUCGAC